UAGAGACAGAAACAAAAAACAACAACACACCAUUUUAAGCUUUGAUCUACUUUAAUCGGUUAUGGCUGGUUUCCGUCAGAUGAUGAGGUAUCGAAGCAGUAAACGAAUCGCUAAGUUGCAUUAAUUUGAAGUUGCAGUGGCAAUAAUCUGUUGAACAACUAUUGGAAGAUUAUCUCCCAGCUGGAAUUGCAUCAUUAAAGUUUAAUCUUCAGCAGCUUCGGGUUCAGACGAAUGAGGCGUAAACAGGGAGGAUGGGUCAAACGUGCCGUGAGCUCGAGUGCAAGUUGAUUAGGUGGUAUUUAGGAGUAAAAAGUUGUUAACAAAUGUAGCGUGUACUUUGUAGUUUAAAGAAGAUUGUAUACGUUUGGUAAUUAGUUACGUUUGUUCAUUUACGCUUGUGAACCGUUUGUUUAUAUUGUUAACAAACGAACAUAAAACAACAUGUCACAUGCCUAAUUUUAAUGUUAAUUGUCAUUUGUUUAUGCUCAAA